GAUUUUCCAAUUCAUUCCAUUACAAGUCCUUCCAAUUCAUUCCAUUAUAAAUACAAGUCUUUUCAAUUCAUUCCAUUACAAAAACAAAUAGUAGCAAGAUUAAGAUUUUGCUCAAUUUAUUUCAAGAAAAUGUGAAGGAUCAGUAGAUUAGCUUUCUUGAUUUGAACAAAAGGGACUAACAUCCCAAAAUCUUGACAAGCAGAAAGAAUUUCGUUCCUAUUUUAUAGAGUCCAGGAAUCAAUUUCGUUCAAGUUCAAAGGAGCAGAAGCUUCAUUUUGUGCAAAUAAUUCAAGGAAAAGGUAUGUUAAUGUUAUCCCUUAAUCCAUACGAUAUGAACGAAAUGUGCAAAUGCGCAAAAUUCCAUGAAUGACUCGAUUCAUAGAAGUAUUAGAGAUAUCUAUGUUCUUGAAUUUCCAUGUGUCAUAAUAUUUUAUCAUCUGUUCAUGGGUCUCAGAAAAAUACUAAAGUUGAAAAGAGUUUACUUUAUGAUAUUACUCAAAGGCAAAAUGGUCUUAUGACAUUUCAAAAGAUUUUAUUAACGUACUUUUCAUGCAUUGCAUUCAUGUACAUUGACCCAUGACCAUAUGGCGUUAUAUACGUGUAUAUAUAUGUAUAUAUAUGUAUAUGGGAUACGGGAAAGGUUAUGAUGUUAUAUAAGCACCACCACCUGAUCAGCUGGUAUACGUUAAUGAUUUUGCUCAUAGUGGCCGAUAUGAUAUGAUGGGAUGCCCUCAGAGGCUGAUGAUGUUAUGAAACAUAUACCUUUGCACGACAUGACAUUCAUAUGCAUAUACAUGAUACUAUAAUUAUUUCAUGAUUUACAAAGUUAUUCAGACUUACAGGUUGAGUCAUGUACUUUAUACAUGUUCCAUGUCUUUUAUGUACUUAUUUAUAUGCCUUACAUACUCGGUACAUUAUUCGUACUGACGUCUCUUUUGCCUGGGAAUACUGCGUUUCAUGCCCGCAGGUCCCAAUAGACAGGUCGAGAGCCCUACAAGUAGUCUAUCUGCUCAACGGAAGAUGUUGGUGCGCUCCGUUUGCUUCGGAGUUGCUUGUUUGGUUAGUAUGAUUUUGACAUGUAUUCUUUGGUAUGGAGGGACUCUGUCCCGACCUUUAUGACAUUUAUGUACUCUUAGAGGUUUGUAGACAUGUGUCUUGUACGUAAAAUAUUGUACGGCCUUGUUGGCCUAUGUUUUGAGUUUAUAAAUGAUCAUGUUGGCCUAUUAGGCCCGUAUGUCACGCGUAUAUGAUGAUGUAAUAAGAAAGAUAUGUUAUGUUG
rnacentral:lncRNA from 1 species